AUACGUAGGAGGCUAACGUUAUUCGGAUUUACUGGGCGUAAAGCGCGUGCAGGCGGUUCGGUAAGUUGGACGUGAAAGCUCCCGGCUCAACUGGGAGAGGUCGUUCAAUACUGCCGGGCUAGAGGAUGGUAGAGGGAGGUGGAAUUCCGGGUGUAGUGGUGAAAUGCGCAGAUAUCCGGAGGAACACCAGUGGCGAAGGCGACCUCCUGGGCCAUUCCUGACGCUCAGACGCGAAAGCUAGGGUAGCGAACGGGAUUAGAGACCCCGGUAGUCCUAGCCGUAAACGAUGUGAACUUGGCGUCGGUGGGAUUAAAUCCAUCGGUGUCGAAGCUAACGCGAUAAGUUCACCGCCUGAGGACUACGGCCGCAAGGUUAAA
rnacentral:rRNA from 1 species